AUUGAACGCUGGCGGCAUGCCUAACACAUGCAAGUCGAGCGGAUGAAGGGAGCUUGCUCCUGGAUUCAGCGUCGGAAGGGUGAGUAAUGCCUAUGAAUCUCCUUGGUAGUGGUGGAUAACGUCUUCAAACGGGUGCUAAUACCGCAUACGUCCUGAGGCAGAUAGUUGGGGAUCUUUGGACCUCACGCUAUCAGAUGAGCCUAGGUCGGAUUAGCUAGUUGGUGGGUUAAGGGCCUACCAAGGCGACGAUCCGUAACUGGUCUGAGAGGAUGAUUGGCCGCACUGGAACGGGACCAGGGACAAGGCUCCUACGGGAGGCAGCAGUGUGGAAUAUUGGGCAGUAGGCGAAAACAUGAUACAGCCAUGCGACGUGUGUGAAGAAAGUCUUCGGAUUGUGAAGCACUUUAAGUUGGGGGAAAGCGCAGUAAGUUAAUACCAUGCUGUAUUGACGUUACCGACAGAAGAAGCACCGGCUAACUUCGUG
rnacentral:rRNA from 1 species